UGAGGAAUAUUGGUCAAUGGACGAGAGUCUGAACCAGCCAAGUAGCGUGAAGGAUGACUGCCCUAUGGGUUGUAAACUUCUUUUAUACGGGAAUAAAGUGAGGCACGUGUGCCUUUUUGUAU
rnacentral:rRNA from 1 species